ACUCCUACGGGAGGCAGCAGUAGGGAAUCUUCCACAAUGGGCGCAAGCCUGAUGGAGCAACACCGCGUGAGUGAAGAAGGGUUUCGGCUCGUAAAGCUCUGUUGUUAAAGAAGAACACGUAUGAGAGUAACUGUUCAUACGUUGACGGUAUUUAACCAGAAAGUCACGGCUAACUACGUGCCAGCAGCCGCGGUAAUACGUAGGUGGCAGGCGUUAUCCGGAUUUAUUGGGCGUAAAGAGAGUGCAGGCGGUUUUCUAAGUCUGAUGUGAAAGCCUUCGGCUUAACCGGAGAAGUGCAUCGGAAACUGGAUAACUUGAGUGCAGAAGAGGUAGUGGAACUCCAUGUGUAGCGGUGGAAUGCGUAGAUAUAUGGAAGAACACCAGUGGCGAAGGCGGCUACCUGGUCUGCAACUGACGCUGAGACUCGAAAGCAUGGGUAGCGAACAGGAUUAGAUACCCCUGGUAGGAUAGCG
rnacentral:rRNA from 1 species